UCUGCGGGCGCGGGUGCUUCACUGGGAGGGCGGCGUGGGUGGUAAUGGGGGCUCUCGGGAGCUCCUGGAUGGGGCUCAGGACUCGAGGUGGGGGCAGAGUGCGUGGAUGACAGAACAAAUGGGGCCCCCUAAUAAGGGGGAGAAAGCAAGUUAUUUGGGGAAGACUCAGAGAAUCCUAAAGAGUAGAAUUCUGACAGCGGGUGAAGACGUGGUCCAGAGGACUCGUGGGGACAGACAGGUGUCGGAGUGUCGUGCGUAUGAGGGUGUUCUUGACAAAGUGAAGCAAGCAGGCAGUCGUUAGAGCGCGGCGACGGGCCCGUCACUUGCGUUCCCUGACAGCUUUGAUGGCUUCUAAUCAUCCUGCCCCUGCAGUUACCCCUCGGGAGCAAGCUGGUCCUCCAGCCGAGCCUUCCCAGCCCGCAGACUAAGUGAGGAAAUGAGAGCCAGGAUGUUCAACGUGCCUCUAAGACUCAUCAGAGCAAUUAGAAGUUUCCAGAAUCGCCUGGAGGAGAGAAGGCCAGCCAGGUGAAGUCAAGGCUGCAGCUGGGUCGAGGAGGGAGCGCUGCUGGUGAAAGAGAAAAAUCUAGGCAGUCCUGCAAUGCUGUCCAUCCUCCUGCAUGCCCAGAAGUGGAGUGGACUGGCAGACAUCCAUCAGCUUUAGGCUGCCUUCAGCGGAAGACGUGGGGAUUGAGCACCUUUCUGCUUUUUCAUCCAGGGCCACUGCAAGAGCAGUUACAUGGUACCGCGUUUGCCUCACGUCACCACCAGGAGGGUGCUGCCGCCAUGCCCUUCAGAGCUGGAGCCCCCCAGGCCGCUGGGCCAGGAGAUGCCACCGUCCGGAAGAUGUCGCUCAGACGCCACCUGACAAGGAUCUCCUCCUUGUCCUCCUUCCCUUAACUCCGCCUAUCCUUCGGCUUCACAGCUGCUGGCCUCCUGAGUGACGCAAAACAAAGACGAUCCUCGACCCUGUCACACGAAGACCCUUCCAACGCUUGAAGACGCGCCUUGGACCCUCCCAAAUCCUCUCAGGCUCAACCUCCUCGGUUUCGUGGACCUUCCUCGCGUCGCGCAGCGUGGCAGAGGCCGUCAGCUGAUCACAGAGCAGGUUUCUUCUGGCCUAACGACCAGACUGCACUUCCCAGCCUCUUUGGCAGCUUUGUGACCUUGGACAAGCCACUUAACUUCUCCAAGCUUCAGUGCCAAGUAUGUAAAGUCCGGAUAAUAACAGUCCUGGAGAAGAAGAUAAGGAUAGCGUGUGGAGCCCCAGCCCACAGCCUGACGCAGGGCAGGGCUCAGGAGACGGCAGCCUCUUGAUGCUUCUGGCUCUCCCUAAGUGGUGGGGGCAUUUGCGUGGAAGAGGAGACAGCUGUGAUGCUCCCUAAAGAGCUGCUCUCUACAGAAGGUCAAGCAAAGAGCAUGCAAGUGAGGAAGGAGGGAAAUGCCCCGGUGAGACGAGGCACAAGCCAAACAGGACUUGACUCCUGGAAACGCCCAGGUGUUUUCAGCAUUUGUGUAGGGAAUCUGGAUGCUUCCAGAAGAGGGAACGGAAGAGCAGGACGGAAGCUGGCGGAGUCGAUGAGGCAAUGUGUUACUUCACACCGGGCGUUUGAAGGUGGGGUGGCACCAGGUUUGUCCCGUGGGGUCUCUGCAUCCCCCUCAGCUGCACAUCCAAUCACAGUCUCCGGAGGACGGGGUUCUCUCUCAGGGUCUCUGCGUUGGGAGCCAGGAAACCGGCCCAGACUGGAUCACGUGCCCACUCCUAACCAAUCACUGCCACGGAGAUCAGCUUGGCCUUGGGCCAAUCAGGGUGUGGCCCGGCGCUGGGGGAGGGGUCCGUCCCGAGUAGUUUGUGGCGGCGGCCAGAGGGGCGCCCCGGGCCCACAGGGACUGCAGGCCCAACAGGAGUCGUUCAAAAGGAUCCAGAACUGAAGAUGCCUCCCUUUCACUGGAUCCGUGUGGAGCCCAGACCCGGGCG